rnacentral:lncRNA from 1 species
AUGUUUAAACUUUAUUUUUCUUUCCAUAGGGUAACACCAUUUCCCGAGGAAAUGAUACAAUUUUGCACAUAUUUCACAGCCAAAGGAACUACGUCUUCUUUACUCGUGCUCUGCGCUCAUCUUGCAGUAGACUCCCGACGCUCGCAACUUCUGGAGGAGGCCCUGGGCUUGACCCGCAAGCAGCCUGCAGGCGCGGCCCCACCCUGCAGCGGAGGGAGGUCCGCUGUGCUGGGCUUUGCGCCCGCGGGAACUGCAGCGCCCAGGGGUCCCGGCAGGAGCGGGGAGCACGGGACGGGGUUCCGAGCGCAGCGACUCAUACGUAGGAGCGGGUUCACGGCCUAUUUCUCUUAUAGAAGCAGUUGCCACGUGGUGGCUGAAAACUGGAAGGAGCCACGCUGGCGGGCAGCGCAUCACACCCGCGCCCUCGCCACGCCCGCGCGCGCGCCUGCGCAGUGGGGUCGGACGCUGCCUCGGAGGGUGCUUCCGCUGCUCCUGUGGCUCUGGCUGUCCUGCCCUGCCGCUCCUGAACAUGAAUCAAGAAAGAACCAGGAAACUAAAUACUUGCCCCUGUAGACGGAGAAAGAAUAAUCUAAGUAAGACCAAGCAGGAAGAAGAAAUUCCUGCCUCUGUUUUUAGCUUCACGUCUGGAUACUUGUCCUCUUUUGCCUGGCCUUCCAGCAGGACCAGAUUACUUGAUGCAGUUCGGUGUGUGAACUCACCGUCUUCUUCCUAGAGAUGCUCCUCUCUUGCUUGUCUGCUUGAUGCAUUUCUGUUCUCCCUUCAACGUGCAGCGGGGUGAUCACUGCGUCUUUGGAAACGUUCUUGGAAUAGAGCUCAUUGAUCUCACGGGUCUUUGUGCACAAAUCUGAAAACACAUGUACCACAAUGAAGUAAAAUUAUCUAUUUAAUGAGUUUCCAUUCUCUUUUAGGUUGCAUACACUUUUUAGCCAGGGUUCAUUUUUUUUUCAUUUUCAUAUCUCUCAUGUUUAACACAGUAUGGGAGACAGAGUAGAUAUUAAGAAAUGUGUUGAGUGAAUGGAUAUUACUUCAAUAUAAUUGAUGUAAAGAAUGAGUACUGUUACACAUCUGAGGUAUAUACAAGAUGAGUCAUGGUCUCUAUGAGUCCUAGAAAAAUGAGAGUCAAAGAUUAAAAACCUGUCAGCAGCCCGAUAUGGUUAGGGGAAGGUUUCCUAAUUCUAAUUUGUUUCUCAGAUAUGUAAUUUGAUAACUUUAGGUACUGAAGGCAAUAAAUUACCUCCUCAAAACA